GUAUCUUCUGGAAUCUAAAGAUGUCCUUUGUUGAUGUGAUGGUACCUCCAUGGAUUAAAAGAUCCUACCCUCUCAUUCAGCCACCUACAAAUGGAUUGUUGGGAUUUGAUAAAAAUGUCCAACUGUUAUGGACUUGGAGCUUUCAUUUUCUAAUUUUGUACGAGUGGUGGGUUGAUGGUGCAAAGAUCCAAUAUGUUGAUAUUAUAGACCUGCUCAUAAACAGCCUCACCAUCAAUAAUUUGUCAUGUGGAAGAAUUACAGGUUUUUACUAUUCGUAAUUUUUUUAUUUUUUCUUUUCAUAUUAGAUCUUCCUUAUAAAGAGAUUCAAUUCAGAACUAUUAUAUGUCGAAGGUCUAAUAUUGAAAUCAUUUUAGAAGUUUUCUCUUGGGUUGUCUAUGUCAGCAGACAAUUUGAAAUACCUUGACUUUUUCAAAACCGGUCCAAGUCAAAUAGCAAUACCAAUUUUGAAUUUUGUAUAAGUGUGGUCCAUAGUUGAAAGAUCCAAACUGUUCAUAUCAUGGGCAUGCUGCUCAUAGACCUCAUCAUCAAUAAUUUGUCAUGUGGAAGAAUUACCGAUGUUUACUUUACUAUUCUUUAAUUUUUCAUGUUGUUUAUUAUUUAUUUAUAACAAAAAUAAUAAAAAUAUCAUUUUUGACCCUACCAGGUCCUCCCACCCAGUCCAUGGUUGACCCAACAGAGUCCUGAGUUAGGUCCUGGUUUGCAAACUAUGGUCAUUGGAACCUAUAUUUGGUUGCAACUUUUAGUUUGUUCGGGAGAAGAGUAAGCUUAGAAGGAUUUAAAUAAAAAAUAUAAUAGCGCCAUAUAUCGAGAGUCCGUCUUUGAGAGGAUUUUCAAGUUAUGGGGGCAAGGAUUCGUAGUAGUUUUGUAAAGUGGUUUGGAAGAUUGAUAUAUAUCUAUCAAAGGCAUGUAGAUUGUAUAGUUAUGGAAAUUGCCAUUGGUUGUCUAUCUUAAGCUCACUUUGUACAGCAGUAAUCUAGGUAACCGAAAGUUCAAGAGUCAUCAGGUUUGACAUGUCACAUUGUCUGGGUUCAUGAUGAAAGUUGUGGCAGAAGUUUCAUGCUGGCUGCCAGCAUGAUGCAAUCCUCCUUUUUCUGGGCUUGGGACCAGCUAUGGGGAACCAAACUCCAACAGGUGCUUACAUAGGUUGAUUAAAUUCAACUAGUGAUUAAGAGUGUUGCAUGCAAUUGUUAGGAAUCAUUUGAUAGUGAUUAAGCUGGUUUUCUCUGGAUUUCUGGGUUUUUUAUAAUCAAAUGAGGCUGAGAUCUUGGCCCUUCUUCAAGGUGUUAAAAUGUUCCCAAAUUCUUUCUUGGAUGCUAUGGUUAUGGUGGGAGUAUUGUACAAUGGACUAGCAAUGCUAUGCUUGUGGAGGGGGGACAUUCCACAAUGGAUUCUUCAUUCUGUAUAAUCCAUGGAAGAGGCAUGCAAGUAAUGGAUAGACUUUCUUUCUGAUAAAUCUGACAUCUCUCACUGCCAGAUACCUGGAUUGGUGUCUGUUUGAGAGGAGUACAUGAUUUUCCCUAAGAGCCCCACCAAGAGGAGAGCUUUGCUUUGCCUCUGGUUGAGUGGCAACCCUUGAUGAAUGUUAAAAAUUAUCCAUAUAUGAGACCUUUUCAAUCUCUAAUAGUUGUAAAAUCUUCUUACUGUCCUACUUUGUCGAAACUAAUCCUGGUGGAGGACCAUAACCAUUUUUCCUUCCAUGUUGUCUUUUAGAUAAUUUCAGUGAGGACUACCACUGAAUUUGUCUGAUAAAAAUUCUCUUCUUAUUUUCUGAGGUUACUUGAUUAAAACCUAUGUAAUAGACUAUUAGAUAGUGCUUGAUUGUAAUCAACCUAUGUAAUAGACUAUUAGAUAAUUCUUGAUUGUAAUCAACCUAUGCAAAUAGUCUGUUUUGUGCUCUCAUUCCUGGCCCCCACUUGGAUAAAGCAGGGUUGUGUCAGGUUGGCAGCUGGCGGCAGGCGUCAAACUCAUGCCGUAACUUUCAUCAUGAAUCUGAACAAUAUGACAUUCUAAGCUGAAGGUCUAGCCCCUAAAUAGAGUGGAAUGGUGGAAACAUGAUUUUCAUCGCUGACCCAAUUAAUUGGCUUAGAUGAUGGUGAUGAUGAUGAUGAUGAUGAUAUUCUGGUUGCUGAUAAGAGCUGCCAUGUUAGGUAAUGCAUCAUGCCCAACCUACAUGAAUAAUUUGUGAUAGUUUUAAACAACACCAGCUUUCAUACCCGCUUGCAUGUGGCACUAUGGUGCUCCUCAUAAGGUUGCCUUCGCUCCUCAUAGGGUAGCAGCAGCCUUUGCUUGAUUAUUGGGUAGGAAUAGGGUGCUUACACUUGACAACCUUCAAAAGAGGGGGAUGGCCAUAUGGGGUACAUGCAUCAUGUGCAUGCAAAACUUGGAGUUAGUAAAUCACUUAUUCAUGAAUUGCAAUUUUGCUAGUGUAGAAGAGAUUCUUCGAUC